rnacentral:RNase_P_RNA from 1 species
CCAGCCGGCCGGGCGGCCACGCAUGCGACAGCCGAAAGGCUGCAUGCGAGGAAAGUCCGGGCUCCCUGGAAACACGGUGCCGGAUAACGUCCGGCGGGGGCGACCCCAGUGACAGUGCCACAGAAAGCAGACCGCCCCGCUUCGGCGGGGUAAGGGUGAAAGGGUGGGGUAAGAGCCCACCGCGUUCCCGGUAACGGGGGCGGCACGGCAAACCACACCGGGAGCAAGACCGAAUAGGGGCGGCAAGAGGGGCGACCCUCGGGGCAGUUUCCGGCCCGCCGCCCGGGUAGGUUGCACGAGGCGCGCAGCAAUGCGCGCCCAAGAUGAAUGGCCGCCACGUUCCGGCGCCUUCGGGCGCCGGGGCCAUACAGAACCCGGCUUACAGGCCGGCUGGCAUU